rnacentral:rRNA from 1 species
GGGAUACGUCUCCGUAGGUGACCUGCGGAGGGAUCAUUA